UUGUAUGUUGAUCUGCAUUAUUGGUCAACAGAAAUAUUGAUUUCAGCUCAUCACCAUUUACCUUAAUUGUAGCCCUGUUAAUCUCGAAGAAGAUGAAGCUGUUGAAGAGGCCAUAAGACUCAGUCUUUUAGAGGAGGCGGUGCAGCCCUUACAUGACUCAAGAAUAACUUUGAGCAGAGAAGAAAUUACAGGAAUUGUGAAAGCACACAGUGAGAGAGUUGUCACAUCAGCAUUCCGACCGAUCCAUAUCAGCCGAGGAAACCUGUGGACAACUGCCAUCCGGCAGUUCAGUAGACGCAAAUUUGCAGAGAGCACCGACAUGCUUUAUGUCACAUUUGCCAGUGAUGAAGACACUGCUCAGGAUGCUGAUGACCUAGGAGGACCAAGGCGAGAAUUCUUUCGUCUACUUGUAAAAGCCAUCUACACAGAAAGUGGAGCCUUUGAAGGUAAUUGUUCUAAUUAGGCUAAAUUCACCAACAUUUCAGAUUAAUCCUGAAAGUUUAUAUUAAUGUCUGCAUGUGAUUGUUUGUUUCUUUUCCAGAUAGUUGUUCUGAAUAACCAGUUGUGUUAGUUGUUCAUAAAUUGUUUUCUGUCCUAGAGGCUCCAAAUGGAUUUGUUCCAAGAAUGAACAUUUCUCAUGUACAGAAAGUGCGAUAUACUCCAAUUGGCCAGAUGAUGUCUACCACAAUAGUCCAGGGUGGUGAACCUCCAGCAUUACUUUCUCCUCAUGUAGUGGACUACAUUGUAACAGGAGAUAUUCUUCAGGUGCAUGUCAGCCCGGGUGACGUCGCUGACACUGAACUCUGAGAAAACAGAAAACAACCCUUUUCAGGUUAUUUAAAAACAAAAUACAUGAUGUAGCAAUGUGCAAAGCUAGAAAUGUAAAUGCCAGUUUUAAUUUCAUUUUCACUUUUCUUUAUGUUUCCAUUUUACAACGUUUUAGGUUGAUCAAGCAGCAACCCAAGAUGAGUUGAGUGUAGCAGUGGAACGUUGUGACUCAUUGAGAUUUGAAGUUGAAGGUCUUCCAAACCCAGUCACCAUGGAGACCAAGGAUGCAUUUGUGAAGAAUGCAAUACACUUCCACAAUCUCAUUCAACGACAGAUCUGCUAUGACCAGUUUGUUCAGGGUUUGAAGCACUAUGAGAGAAUGAUCUUGGGGAACGUCUCAACACAAGGAACCUCAAUGAGGCAGAGAAGGCGUUCAUCCUGACCUUGAGUCCUGCACAUGUACUUGCAUUUGCAACAGGGAGCAGCAAAGUCCCUGCAGCUGGAUUCAGUCCUAGUCCUAAGCUCACCUUUGUUCACGAUGAGAUGAAGCACCUUCCACUUGCUCACACAUGCUCAAACGAGCUUCUGAUUUUUGUAAAUACAAAGAAUUUGGCAGAUGACACUGCAUUUGAUUAUCAUUUUAUUGUGGCUCUCAUGAAUGGUGGCAUUUUCAGUACUGUGUAGACUAGUCAAAAGUAUCUAGCGUUCCACACAUACAGCUCAUUUACACAUACAGCUCAUUGCUCAUUCAUAAUUUUGUUAAACACAA